GUGGGGAAUCUUCCGCAAUGGACGAAAGUCUGACGGAGCGACGCCGCGUGAGUGAAGAAGGCCUUCGGGUCGUAAAGCUCUGUCAUCAGGGACGAACGGCCGGUGGAGUGGAAAGCCACCGGAUUGACGGUACCUGAGAAGGAAGCCACGGCUAACUACGUGCCAGCAGCCGCGGUAAUACGUAGGUGGCAAGCGUUGUCCGGAAUUAUUGGGCGUAAAGCGCGCGCAGGUGGGAUCUUAAGUCCAUUUUGAAAGUUCGGAGCUCAACUCCGUGAUGGGAUGGAAACUGGGAUUCUUGAGUACCGGAGAGGAAAGCGGAAUUCCCCGUGUAGCGGUGAAAUGCGUAGAUAUGGGGAGGAACACCAGUGGCGAAGGCGGCUUACUGGACUGUAACUGACGCUGAGGCGCGAAAGUGUGGGGAGCAAACAGGAUUAGAAACCCGUGUAGUCC
rnacentral:rRNA from 1 species